rnacentral:rRNA from 1 species
UACUCCUACGGGAGGCAGCAUUAAGGAAUAUUGGUCAAUGGGCGCAAGCCUGAACCAGCCAUGACGCGUGCAGGAAGACGGCCCUAUGGGUUGUAAAAUGCUUUUGUCAGGGAAUAAACCCCCGCUCGUGAAGCGGGACUGAAGGUACCUGAAGAAUAAGCAUCGGCUAACUC